rnacentral:lncRNA from 1 species
AUGUGUAUCCAGUCUGGAAAGGCUAGUCUUCCUACAAUGAACUGCUUUUGUACCUUUUUCAGAAAUGGGUUGUGCUGUGCUCCUACAGCCAUCACUACUCAGCUCAGGAGUUGUAUCCUCCAGAAUCCAUUGCCUGUGCUCUUCAAAAUGACACGCAAUUCAGAGACUCCACAUGCUUGCGUGAGAUUUGAGUUUGGCUUCCAGUUUCUUAGCCGAUACCCUAGAACCUGUUUGAAGAUGAAGGAUCAGAUAAUGACACUUUAUUAGAUGCUACAGGGCACUCAGAGGAGUUGGUCUCCAUUCAAGGACUUCAUGUGAGAAGGAUUCAACACUCCUUACCGGGAUAUCUAGUAGAACAAACACGUGUGUGCUACAGAGCAAGACAGGCACGACUUCCUCUGGGCUCCUGUACCUGCAGAAGAGUUCAGCUUUUUCCUCAUGCUAUGUCCUACCAAUUCUUUUAACAAGGCCCAGUGGAACAGGAUACAACUGGGUAUGUAAACAUCUUAACAAACAAUAAUUUGAUAAAUUGCCUAUUGAAAACUUAGCCUGUGCCAAGUCUUCUUCUAAACACUUUGGAAGCAUUAACUCAUUCAAUCACCACAAUAAUUUUUUUUUUUUUUUUGACAGGCAGAGUGGACAGUGAGAGAGACAGAGAGAAAGGUCUUCUUUUGCAGUUGGUUCACCCUCCAAUGGCCGUCGCAGCCGGCGCACCGCGCUGAUCCGAAGGCAGGAGCCAGGUGCUUCUCCUGGUCUCCCAUGGGGUGCAGGGCCCAAGCACUUGGGCCAUCCUCCACUGCACUCCCUGGCCACAGCAGAGAGCUGGCCUGGAAGAGGGGCAACUGGGACAGAAUCCGGCGUCCCACAAUAAUUUUAUAAAGAAGUAUUAUUAGAAUCCCUAUUAAGGGCUGACAUUUUGGCAUAAUGGGCUGAACCUCCACCUACAACACUGGCACACCCACUCAGGCAGUUUAAAGCCCCGCUGCUCCACUUCCAAUCUGGCUCCCUGCUAAUGAGCCUGGGAAAGCAGGGUAUGAUGGCCUAAGUCCUCCGGCCCCUGCUACCCACGGGGGAGCCUUGGAAGGAUCUCCUGGCUCCUGGGUUUGGCCUGGUACAGUCCCAGCUGUUGCAGCCAUUUGAGGAGUGAACUAGCUGAUGGAAGCGUGUGCUCUCUCUCUCUCUAUAUAUAUACAUAUAUAUG